CUGGUUGAUCCUGCCGGCGGCCACUGCUAUCAGGUUUCGACUAAGCCAUGCGAGUCGAAGGAUCGUAAGAUACUGGCAUACUGCUCAGUAACACGCGGACAAUCUACCCCCAGAUGGAGUAUAACCUCGGGAAACUGAGGCUAAUCCUCCAUAGUCAUCGUAUGAUGGAAGGCUUCGAUGAUGAAAGCUCCGGCGUCUGAGGAUGAGUCUGCGGCCUAUCAGGUUGUAUGUGGUGUAAAGGACCACAUAGCCUAAGACGGGUACGGGCCCUGAAAGGGGUAGCCCGGAGAUGGACUCUGAGACACCAGUCCAGGCCCUACGGGGCGCAGCAGGCGCGAAAACUGUGCAAUGCGCGAAAGCGCGACACGGGAAACCUGAGUGCUCUGACUUUGUCAGAGCUUUUCCUAAGUCUAAAACGCUUAGGGAAUAAGAGCUGGGCAAGACGGGUGCCAGCCGCCGCGGUAACACCCGCAGCUCGAGUGGUGGUCACUUUUAUUGAGCCUAAAGCGUUCGUAGCCGGUUUCGUAAAUCUCCAGGAAAAUUCUCCUGCUUAACAGAAGAUCUUCUGGAGAGACUGCGGAACUAGGGACCGGGUGAGGUUGAAGGUACUUUCUGGGUAGGGGUAAAAUCCUGUAAUCCUGAAAGGACGACCGGUGGCGAAGGCGUUCAACUGGAACGGAUCCGACGGUGAGGAACGAGGGCUAGGGGAGCAAACCGGAUUAGAUACCCGGGUAGUCCUAGCUGUAAACACUGCCCAUUUGGUGUUGCAUCUCCUUUAAGGGGGUGCAGUGCCGUAGCGAAGGUGUUAAAUGGGCCGCUUGGGGAGUAUGGUCGCAAGGCUGAAACUUCAAGGAAUUGGCGGGGGAGCAC
rnacentral:rRNA from 1 species